rnacentral:lncRNA from 1 species
AAAACGAGAAGAAGAAAAUUACCUCUUUAGGAACAAUGUCGUUGAAUGGAAUUAAAAUAAUUUUCACACGUAACUAAAGAAAUUUCUAAUAGACAACGGAACAUCAACAUUAGAAGAAAACAAAGAAAUCAAGAUAUUGAAAAUUAAUUUUCCUAGUACACACAUACCUUCGACAUAUAACACCCAAGCAUAAAAGAGAAAAUUAAAGUACAGCGAGAAAUUUGAGAGAAUAGGGAAUACGGAGGAAACUUACCCAAUACCUAUUUCCAAUCAAACUUCUCUUGUCCCCGAUAAACCUUGAAAUUCCACUCUUACGCCUAUAGAAGGUAGAGAAAAGAGCAUAGAUCAAAUGUAACAAUGAGAAUCAGAAAAUUACAACAUAAGACAAAAUCUCAUUAAAAGAAAAUAAUAUUAUUCUGAUACGAAACGAAAGAAACGAGCAUUACAAAACGCAACAUGAAGCUCAGAAACCAACAAAUAAAUCAAAGGAUUGAAAAUUAAUUCUCUAAUACAUAUUUGCAAUCAACAAACAACACCCAAAAAUAAAACAGAAGAAUGAAGAACAGUGCAAAAUGGAGGAUAAUAGGGAAUCUCAAAUAAACAUACUACAGAGGUAUCUCCGACGAAUCUUCUCUUGUCCAUGGGAAACCUGAAAAAUUCCACCCUUACGUUUAUAGAUGGUAACGAAAGGAGUAGAGAUCAAAUGUAAAAACGAGAAGAAGAAAAUUACCUCUUAAGGAACAAUGUCGUUGAAUGGAAUUAAAAUUAAUUUCACACAUAACUAAAGAAAUUUCUAAGAGACAAUGGAACAUCAACAUUAGAAGAAAACAAAGAAAUCAACAUAUUGAAAAUUAAUUUUCCUAGUACACACAGACCUUCGACAUAUAACACCCAAGCAUACAAAAGAAAAUUAAAGUACAGCGAGGAAUUUGAGAGAACAGGGAAUACGGAGGAAACUUACCCAAGACCUAUUUCCAAUCAAACUUCUCU